GUGACUAGAGUCUUCUUAAGCGUUGAAUCUAAGGCGUGGUUCAUUGGAGCAAUCGGAUUCGGAGCUAACUAUCGAUUUUGGCAAAAAGGACAUCGAAAGGGAUCUCAGAAGCAGUCGUCGCGAAUCAGGUGAGCCCUAGAAUUGGUGGACUUGGAGCUGGGCGGGAUUCAGAGUGGCCAUGAAGAUGGAUUGCCAAUUUUAAAUAAGUUUAGCAUUUAAUUUGGAUUAUUUUAUUUUUAUUAUGUUUAAAGUUGUAAUAAGGCCGCUCUUUUUAAUUAUUUUUAUUUUGGGGAUUAUUAAACUGGUUAGCACUAGGGUUCGUUUUAUAAAAACUACUUGAUUUUUAAAA